GUAAAAUAUUUUACAAAAUACGGGAAAAGGAAGUGUUUUUUUGGGGAAAAUGUCUUACAGUUUCUAAUUCGGUUUCCUCUUCACAUCCCAGCAUCUUGAAACGCUUUCUCCUUCUUCUUCUCCUUCCCCUCAUUGCGUCCCCAACCGAUAAUUCAUCUCUGUAUCAAAAACAAUCAGCAGUAGUUUCAUUGACAAAAAGAAAAAAACCCUAUACAUUUCUAGUCUUCAUUACCGCCUUUUUGAUUUUCACUACGAUUCUUUUACUUUAAUUACUCUGCCGCCGGCAUUCAACGUCGAUUACUCGACUGCCAGUGAUUUGGUUCUUUUUCCAAAAGGCGGUUUAAGGCUUUAGGUUUUGGGAGAAUGGGAGGAAGUCAGAGUUACUCAGCGAAUCCCAGUGAUUACAAGCUUCUAGAAGAGGUUGGUUAUGGCGCCAGUGCUACUGUUUAUAGAGCGAUCUUCCUUCCUACUAACGACAUCGUGUGAAAUGCUUGGAUCUCGAUCGUUGCAACAGUUUUAGGUGAUUGUUAUUUGCACCCAUGGUAUGAUCUCUUGAAAUUUUGUUCAGUGACAGUAUUAUGUGAUAUGAUUCAGGGAUUAAUAGAAGGAAUCAGUUCUGUUCUUAAUAAGAAGAAAGAAGAUGAAAAGUCUUCAGCAGAAUUGACGCGUACCGAUAUCAUCAAGUGCAUACAGUCUGAAAGAGUUAAAUUUCGAGGAGUUAACCUUUCUGGCAUUGAUAUCUCUAAAUUGAUCUUUCAUUCGUGGAUUUCAGCUUUGCCUGUCUCAAAAACGUAUUUUUCACACGUGUAAAUCUUCAGUGUGCAAAAUUUCGGGAUGUGGAUGUUGUGUGUUCGAAUUUUCACAAUGCAACUUUGUGCGAGGGCAAAUCUUCGUGGGGUUUUACUAGCUGGGGCGAAUCUUCAGAGUGCAAAUCUUCAAGGAAAAUAUUUGCCAUCUUUCUAUAGUUAGUAGAUUUCUUACUAAAUGUCUAUAUUCUUGAAGUACCGAAGUCCAAUACUUAUGCUAGACACAUGUCUGGAUAUAGAUAUAGAGAUACGGUCCUAUAAAGACUCUUCAAAUACAUGGAACUCCUAAAAUAGAAAAAUUGUACAUAUCCAUAGCGGACAUUCAGACUAGUGUCCAAGUAACUUAGCUAAAUGUUACUAUUUAUUGUUAAGGUUUAAAUAUUGAUGUAUCAUCAUCAAUUACAUUGUUGCAGAUGCUUCUUUGAUAGAUUGUAGCUUCUGUGGGGCCGAUAUUCGUUCUUCACACUUAUAGAUACAGAAGAUUCAAAUACGAAGCUAGAUCGAGGAAAGGAAAAAGUUUAGGAUUAGUAGAUUUUUGUACACGAACAAGUAUCAAGUGUUAAGAGCUCGGAGGUCAGAUUUGGUCGGAGACACAUCACACUAUCAACCUCAGGAUUUCGGUAUAUAAAGAAACUUUAUUUAGGAAAUCAAUGGCAUGUAUAAGCUAAUAAAGUAAAUGUUAACAUGAAAUGAAUAUAAAGUUAGCCAUUAGUAUGGUUAACAAACCUGGUUUUGGGUAUGUGAUGACGUUAUCUUAUAAAUAUGUAUGAAUUUAUCUUGAAAAUAUGUUGAAUUGGUUUGGUUGAA